ensembl:ncRNA lncRNA:CR43652 long non-coding RNA:CR43652
AUUUCGAUUCCCCAAAUUUAUUGCGUGUUCAAAACGCAGCAAAGGUGAUUUUCUCACCUAGAAUCGGGCAAUCAGAGAAGUCAUCCAGGAUGCAGGUUUGCACGAUAACAAGCCACACACAAAGCCAAUCCCUUGGACAAAGAGGAAAUUUGCUUGGCAAGGAUAAUAAGUGGAUAAUUUAUUAGCCAUCGACCAGCAUUGAGUAUCGAAUGGAUGCACGUUGAAUGUUGGAUGACAACUGCAAAACUGCAGCCAGAUUGCCCAGAUAGAGAAACGUAUGCGAGGAUGCGGGCUGUGCUGGAAUGGGGAGAUUUGCCUGGUAUGGAAUAUAGGAGUACAGGAUGCCAAACAAACGAACAAAGGACGAGUGUUUAGAGUAAACACAAAGGCGACCAUAAUACAAUCAUAAUUGCAUUUUUACAACAACCCAGGGAGAGUGUGUCGGAUUUUAUGCUCCCAACUUCGGUUAUUGACAGUUCACACCAAGGACAUGCUUUGAGUCCUAAGCACCCAAGUACAAAAACACACGAACCGAGGCGAAAUUAAAUUUUUAUCUAAUAUAAACUCGCAGCAGGCACUCGUCCCUUUUGCGCUCUGUUGUUACUCAGUCCCUUUAUUUUUUGCACAGCGAUAUGAGCGAUAUGGCUCAAGGACAUUCCAGGAAAUGACAAGGGACACACACACACACACAAACGCUGUCAGUUUUCACACCAAUUCCCGGAGGAUGCACAAAGUCCUGGCCAAUGUCCUUCAGUGGAGCAUUAAUUUGACUUAUCCCUGUGACGGCGGGCCACCAGCAAGGACACGCACUCGGUUGGAAAAGUGCAAUUAAUGUCGAACAAUGGCGACUUUUGUCAGCGCUGGACACACACGCGAACGUCCAAGGAUGCACAGACCAUUAGCCACGAUCCAGGACCCAAGGCCAAGGACCUUGUGCAUAAUUAGCCGGCACUCCGAAUGGGUUGCCUGUCCUUCGGGCCAAGUCAAGGCCCAAUUGCACAAUGCCAUCAGGACACACAGGGCGCAGCAACCUUGAGUCAUAAUUGAGGUCCUGCAGGAUAAUAAAUGUUUUUUGCUCAACCACGCGCCGCGCAUGCGCAGUAUCGAGCCCAAAGGCGAAUGCAAGGCGUGCGCUGAUAAUAAACACAUUUAACUUAUCCUCAAGGUUAGCUGAAGGUCUUAGCUGGUUCCUGUAUAUUCUUAAUUACAGCCCAUAAAGUACAAAUUGAGUCGUAAAGCAAAGUCCAAAGGACAGAACCUGCAGAGUUCUGGGAUCCAUUAAGAAAUAUCUCUCAGAUAAAUAUAUUCAUUGAGUGACAUUCGAAGGUCGUACUAAAUAGAUAAUCCCAUUCUU